rnacentral:snRNA from 1 species
GCUUAGAUCAAGUGUAGUAUCUGUUCUUCUCAGUUUAAUCUCUGGGAUUGCUCCAUUGGAGCAUGAUCGCGAUUAUACUCAUUUUUGCAAACCUGGUGGUCGGUCCUCUGAGCUUUGCUCAUGGCCGACCUCCACUGUGUCGUCGGUAUCACACUGUCUCCGAGUGACGCGAACCACC